CUCCCUGAUUGUCAGAAUCGGUUACCCUCGCUGGUCUGAGAUGGGGAAGGUGGAGAAGGACCCAGACACCCACCCGGGGGAACUCAGGCCCAGCGCUCGCCCAGGUCUGCCUUCAGCCUGGAUCUGGAGGGUUUCGGGUUGCUCCUCCCCGCCCGCCCGCCCGCAUGGUUUUGGUUGGUUGGAUGGCUGAAUGAAACACAACCUUGCCUGCAGACAUCAAAGCCUGUCUCCAGCCGUAGCAGGCUCUGCCUCCAGCCUUUCGUCUCUCCGGUAUGUUCCAAUUUCGCUGAGGCUGCCUUGCAUGAUAAUGAGGCCUAAUUAACGCUUUAUCCCUUGAUUGAGGUGCUGAGUUUUUGAGACAGAGGAGUUCUCGGCUGGGCUCCCCUCGCCCUUCCUCCGAUCCUUUCAGCACACCCCUUGCCUGAGAUUCAGCCUGACAUCUUUAGCCUAUAGGUCUCACAUUCCGGCCACAACUGCGAGAGCACUUCACACACGGGAUGCUCCGAAUACCACGGGCCUUUAAAGGGAUUUAUUACUAGGUUAAAGAGUAAAACAAAGGACAGGAGUCGAUUAUCCUCAUUCCCCGUUGUGAUGAUGUGGUUUCUUACGGCUCUCUUUCCACACACACAGGCAUUUGUAAAAUGUUGAUGGCCAAGCAUGAUACCUCAUGCCUGAGACGCCAGCUCUCAGGAGGCCCCCGGCAAGUUCAAGGCCAGCUUGCUCUACAUGGUGAGUUCCAAGUCAGCCAAGGCUACAUAAUGGGACCCUUUCUCAAAAUAAAGGAGGGGCUGAAAACCAA
rnacentral:lncRNA from 1 species